rnacentral:rRNA from 1 species
GACGAACGCUGGCGGCGUGCUUAACACAUGCAAGUCGAACGAAGUGGCGAACGGGUGAGUAACGCGUAAUCAACCUGCCCUUAAUAGGGGGAUAACAGAUGGAAACGACUGCUAAUACCGCAUACUGAAGGAGGGGAUUGCGUCUGAUUAGCUAGUUGGAGGGGUAACGGCCCACCAAGGCGAUGAUCAGUAGCCGGUCUGAGAGGAGGAAAGGCCACAUUGGGAAUGAUACACGGCCCAGAUUCCCACGGGAGGGAGCAGUGGGGAAUCUUCCGCAAUGGAUGAAAGUCUGACGAAGCAACGCCGCGGGAGUGAUGACGGCCUUCGGGUUGGAAAGCUCUGUUAAUCGGGACGCGGUACCGGAAUAGAAAGCCACGGCUAACUACGUGCCAGCAGCCGCGGUAAUUC